rnacentral:tRNA from 1 species
GCCCAGAUAGCUCAGUCGGUAGAGCAGGGGACUGAAAAUCCCCGUGUCGGUGGUUCGAUUCCGCCUCUGGGCAACA